CAGCAGCCACGGUAAUACAGAGGGUGCAAGCGUUAAUCGGAAUUACUGGGCGUAAAGCGCGCGUAGGUGGUUCGCCAAGUUGGAUGUGAAAUCCCCGGGCUCAACCUGGGAACUGCAUCCAAAACUGGCGAGCUAGAGUAUGGUAGAGGGUGGUGGAAUUUCCUGUGUAGCGGUGAAAUGCGUAGAUAUAGGAAGGAACAUCAGUGGCGAAGGCGACCACCUGGACUGAUACUGACACUGAGGUGCGAAAGCGUGGGGAGCAAACAGGAUUAGAUACCCCUGUAGUCCCUGUCUCUUAUAC
rnacentral:rRNA from 1 species